CCUUCCUUUUCCUCCAUUAACCCUCUCACUCUGCGCUCCCAAACAAAAGAGAAUUCGAGAGCGCCAAAAAAUACGUUGCAAAAUUUCACCACUUUCUUUCCGUCUCUCUGUACAAAUUAAACUAAAGUCUUUAAAUUCCUUUCCAUUUAUUGCUAGCACAUUGAUAGUGGUUUCCCCUUUCUUUCAAUCCAUUCUUUUGCCACUCUCCCCACUCUCGUCUCUUCUUCUAUCUUUCCAUUCCAACCCAGUUCCAGUCCUCUCGAUGUAAGAGAGUGAAAAAGAAAGAGAGAAUUCGUUUUUUUUCCUUCUGCUUUUGUUUUUUUUUAAUCGGAUCGGUGGCGGUCUUCGGGCGUUCUGGUGCUUAAAAUAAUCGGAUUGGUCGGAGGCGGAGAUGGCCGCGGUUGCGGAGAACGCGAUCGGCGCCGGCGACCAGUUCGUCCGGCGAACCCCGCCGCCGCCGCCGCCGCAGCAGCAGCAGCAGUGCGCGAGGUCGUCGGAGGCUGAGUACCAGCGCGACGUGCGCGAGCUCGUCGAUCUGCUCUCCAAACUGAACCCCUCUGCCAAAGAGUUCAUUCCCUCCUCCUACGCCUCCGUUGGCCACACCGCCUCCAACGCCGCCGCGGGCCCCGCCGCCGGUGGGAGGAGGCCGAAUGGGCGGCUGUCGGCUGACGCGCCGGUGUUCCUGGCCUCCUCGGAUUACUACGGCAGGGCGAUUGUUGCGGGGAAUCGGGAUGUGGGCAGCGGCGAUGGGCCGUACAACAACCAGCAAACCCACAGAAGAAAGAACAAUUACAGCCAGGGGCGGCGGAGGUUUAAUGAUAGAGUUCAAAGAGCGCAGAAGGAGGACUGCAUCAGGCGCACUGUAUAUGUAGCUGAUAUUGAUCUGCAUGUAACAGAGGAGCAGCUUGCAGCAUUGUUUGGUAGCUGUGGGAAAGUACUUGAUUGUCGUAUUUGUGGUGACCCCCAUUCAUUUCUUCGAUUUGCAUUUAUAGAGUUUGCUAAUGAAUAUGGUGCAAGAGCAGCACUAAAUCUUGGUGGGACAAUGCUAGGUUACUAUCCCGUAAGAGUGCUACCUUCAAAGACUGCCAUUUUGCCAGUGAAUCCUACAUUUCUUCCACAGUCUGAAGAUGAAAGGGAGAUGUGUACAAGGACAGUUUACUGCACAAAUAUUGAUAAAAAGGUUACUCAGUCAGAUCUAAAAGAAUUCUUUGAGUUCCUUUGUGGUGAGGUUUCUCGCUUGAGGCUUCUUGGGGAUAACAUGCAUUCAACCCGCAUAGCAUUUGUUGAGUUUGUUCAGCCUUGCCUUGGAGAAUCAAGCAGAAGUUGGUGAAUCCACUCAGAUUUAGUCAAUGCUAUAUAACAGCAAUGAACACAAUGUGCUGUCCUGAGGCGGAAAGUGCCCUUAAAGCUCUGAGUUGCAGUGGAAGGAUCCUUGGAGCUUUCCCUAUUAGGGUAAGUCCUUCGAAGACUCCUGUCAGGCCUCGUGUUGCUCACACAAUGCAUUAGCUCCAGUUUACUUUAUAUUCAGUCUGAUGGGCCUAUUUUCACUGGAGGAAAUUUGUUGUCUGGAAAGUGCUGAUGAUCAUUUGACUCUGGUUAUUGGCAGAAAACAUUUUUCUGCAACCAAACAUGACCCAUCUUCCAGCCGGCUUUGAUAUUUAAACUUUAAACGUGACCUGUCUUAUGGCUUUACAGCUGUUGUUAUCUGUUUUAUUUGUUAUUUAUUUACAUGGUUAGAAGUGUCAUGUCGACAUCAGUUGUUGGUGAUCCCAGCCAGCAUAGUAUUCUGCAGAAACCUGGAAACUGUGCUGUUUUUCUUUGAUUAAAGAAACUUUUUUGUGUAUUCUAA